rnacentral:rRNA from 1 species
AUUGAACGCUAGCGGCAGGCCUAACACAUGCAAGUCGAACGAGUGGCGGACGGGUGAGUAAUAUCUGGGAAAAUGCCCGAUGGAGGGAGAUAACGACUGGAAACGGUAGCUAAUACCGCAUACCAUCGGAUGUGCCCAGAGGGGAGUAGCUUGUAGGUGAGGUAACGGCUCACAUAGGCGACGAUCCCUAGCUGGUCUGAGAGGAUGACCAGCCACACUGGAACUGAGACACGGUCCAGACUCCUACGGGAGGCAGCAGUGGGGAAGAUUGCACAAUGGGCGCAAGCCUGAUGCAGCCAUGCCGCGUGUAUGAAGAAGGCCUUCGGGUUGGAAAGUACUUUCAGCGGGGAGGCGUUACCCGCAGAAGAAGCACCGGCUAACUCCGUGCCAGCAGCCGCGGUAAUUC